GCUCCCGUGGUGUAGCCCGGCCUAGCAUACGGGGCUCUCAACCCCGUGACCCGGGUUCAAAUCCCGGCGGUGGCUCCA
rnacentral:tRNA from 1 species